AUUGAACGCUGGCGGCAUGCUUUACACAUGCAAGUCGAACGGCAGCACGGGCUUCGGCCUGGUGGCGAGUGGCGAACGGGUGAGUAAUAUAUCGGAACGUACCCAGAAGUGGGGGAUAACGUAGCGAAAGUUACGCUAAUACCGCAUACGAUCUAUGGAUGAAAGCAGGGGACCGCAAGGCCUUGUGCUCCUGGAUCGGCCGAUAUCUGAUUAGCUAGUUGGUGAGGUAAAGGCUCACCAAGGCGACGAUCAGUAGCUGGUCUGAGAGGACGACCAGCCACACUGGAACUGAGACACGGUCCAGACUCCUACGGGAGGCAGCAGUGGGGAAUUUUGGACAAUGGGCGCAAGCCUGAUCCAGCAAUGCCGCGUGAGUGAAGAAGGCCUUCGGGUUGUAAAGCUCUUUUGUCAGGGAAGAAACGGUAGAGGCUAAUAUCCUUUGCUAAUGACGGUACCUGAAGAAUAAGCACCGGCUAACUACGUG
rnacentral:rRNA from 1 species